UACGGAGGAUGCGAGCGUUAUCCGGAUUUAUUGGGUUUAAAGGGUGCGUAGGCGGGAUGCCAAGUUAGCGGUAAAAAUGCGGUGCUCAACGCCGUCGAGCCGUUGAAACUGGCGUUCUUGAGUAGGCGAGAAGUAUGCGGAAUGCGUGGUGUAGCGGUGAAAUGCAUAGAUAUCACGCGGAACUCCGAUUGCGAAGGCAGCAUACCGGCGCCCUACUGACGCUGAGGCACGAAAGCGUGGGUAGCAAACAGG
rnacentral:rRNA from 1 species